UACGUAGGUGACAAGCGUUGUCCGGAUUUACUGGGCGUAAAGAGCGCGCAGGCGGUCGAUCAAGUCGAGUGUGAAAGCCCCCGGCUCAACUGGGGAGGGUCAUUCGAUACUGAUCGACUCGAAGGCAGGAGAGGGUAGUGGAAUUCCCGGUGUAGUGGUGAAAUGCGUAGAUAUCGGGAGGAACACCAGUGGCGAAGGCGACUACCUGGCCUGUUCUUGACGCUGAGGCGCGAAAGCUAGGGGAGCAAACGGUGA
rnacentral:rRNA from 1 species